UUUUAAUGGAACAACAUAAAAAUCUGUUCCACUUGCAAAUACAUAAAAAUUCAAGUCUCACCAUCACCUAUUUGUGAAAAUUGUGCAUAUAUGAGGCCAUUGAAGAAAAAUGAAUGUGUCAUGCAUGAGAAGAUCGUGUUAAACAAUUUAAGCUUUUUAGAUGAGGCAGUUUAACAUGAGGGAGAGCAGUAACGAAGCCAUAUAUUGAAGCUAUUAAAUCACCUCGAGUAAUGAAGAAACGUUGGUGAACGAAUUAUCAAACUUCCAAACUAGAUUGCCGUGUGGAAGUCCCAAAUUCAGUUCUAGGCAAAAUGUAAAAGGAAGAUAGAGAACAAGAAAUUUACGUCGUUCAGCACUUUAGAUUUACGUCCAUUGGCAGAGACAAGACGAAUGUCACUACACAAAAGGGGAGAAUACAAAACAGUACUACAUACUGAAUCCUGAAACCGCGCCCACAAAGUAUAUACUAUGAGAUUAUAUUGAAAGUACUCAGACUGAAAUCUCCCAGCGAAAGCAUGUACACUAGGUA